rnacentral:tRNA from 1 species
CUGCCGCCCGGUCGGCGGUGCACUCGGUGUUCGGGCUGCUGAACUCGACUCCGCAUCUGGGGCGACCGGGGUCGCUUCCCGGGCGGGGGG